rnacentral:tRNA from 1 species
GGGGAUUUAGCUCAGUGGUAGAGCGCUUGCCUUGCAAGCACAAGGCCCUGGGUUCGGUCCUCAGCUCCG